rnacentral:lncRNA from 1 species
AAAACAGGAGCGGUUCGCCCUAUAAGGAAAUUCCCCGCCUCCCAGCCCAUCAUGCCUUGCUGCCGACUUCCGGUUCUCCAGGGUAUAAAGCGGCGGCUCCGGGCCAAAUUUCAGGAGAAGCUUUGGUGCGAGCCUCUUGACUCUUCUGACCUGGAUCGUUUUCCCUGGAAUAAAUGGUGUCAGACUCGUUGCUAAAUAGUCUGACAACCAGAGGGGACGAGCCCAUGGCUGCCGAAGGUUCCAGGUCAGCCCCCAGAGCCCGGUGAAGCCACUCUACCUCCCGCUCGCUCUUCGCGUCUCAGGUAAUCUUCGAAGCAAGGGAAGAGAAGAGUAUGCUAUCCUGUCAUGACAUUUCUUUUCAAAAUACGUGGCUUAAAGAGGAACGGAAAGAGAAGUCAUUAUUUCCAAACUUCAAGGACAGAGAUCCUCUAGGAUUCUACCCAGUAUUGAGCUUGCAUUCCUGUUGUUUCAUGAGGACAAUGCAGAGGAACUCAUGUGUAUGCUGUGUAUGCAGUGGUUUGGAGUCACAAGUGAGGAAUACUGAGCCUGCAGAAGCCACUGUAUUAAUAUUAUGUCAAUUCUAAAACAGGGAAGAGAAAAUGAUUUGGCUCAUUUUGACUGAACGGUGAAAAUGACAGAUGGAGGCGCAGGAGAGUGUUCCACAUUCCUAAGGCUGUUGAUUCUACCAGGGGUGAAGAGGUAAGAGCAGCACAAUUAGUCAGGUGGGAAGAAAAUUAUACUCCUGCUGGAAGCAGGAUAGGACUCGUUAGAAUCUUUGCUUGACAAGAUUAAUCCGUCUGGUGUCAAAACUUCCAAUUAGCAUUCGGUAUUAUUCCCACUACUGAGCUCAUUCAGAACUUACAGUCGAAAAUCA